rnacentral:rRNA from 1 species
AUUGAACGCUGGCGGCAGGCCUAACACAUGCAAGUCGAGCGGAUGAAGGGAGCUUGCUCCUGGAUUCAGCGGCGGACGGGUGAGUAAUUCCUAGGAAUCUGCCUUGUAGUGGGGGAUAACGUCCGGAAACGGGCGCUAAUACCGCAUACGUCCUGAGGUAUAAAGUGGGGGAUCUUCUGACCUCACUCUAUCAGAUGAGCCUAGGUCGGAUUAGCUAGUUGGUGGGGUAAAGGCCUACCAAGGCGACGAUCCGUAACUGGUCUGAGAGGAUGAUCAGGAACACUGGAACUGAGACACGGUCCAGACUCAUACGGGAGGCAGCAGUGGGGAAUAUUGGACAAUGGGCGAAAGCCUGAUCCAGACAGGCCGCGUGGGGGAAGAAGGUCUUCGGAUUGUAAAGCACUUUAAGUUGGGAGGAAGGGCAGUAAGUUAAUAACUUGCUGUUUUGACGUUACCAACAGAAUAAGCACCGGCUAACUUCGCG